UACGGAGGGUGCGAGCGUUAAUCGGAAUUACUGGGCGUAAAGCGCAUGCAGGUGGUUCAUUAAGUCAGAUGUGAAAGCCCGGGGCUCAACCUCGGAACCGCAUUUGAAACUGGUGAACUAGAGUGCUGUAGAGGGGGGUAGAAUUUCAGGUGUAGCGGUGAAAUGCGUAGAGAUCUGAAGGAAUACCAGUGGCGAAGGCGGCCCCCUGGACAGACACUGACACUCAGAUGCGAAAGCGUGGGGAGCAAA
rnacentral:rRNA from 1 species